rnacentral:rRNA from 1 species
AUGUGCCUACGGGGGGCAGCAGUGGGGAAUAUUGCACAAUGGGGGAAACCCUGAUGCAGCAACGCCGCGUGAGUGAUGACGGCCUUCGGGUUGUAAAGCUCUGUCUUCAGGGACGAUAAUGACGGUACCUGAGGAGGAAGCCACGGCUAACUACGUGCCAGCAGCCGCGGUAAUACGUAGGUGGCGAGCGUUGUCCGGAUUUACUGGGCGUAAAGGGAGCGUAGGCGGGCUUUUAAGUGAGAUGUGAAAUACUCGGGCCCAACUUGAGUGCUGCAUUUCAAACUGGUAGGCUAGAGUGCAGGAGG